rfam:Rachicladosporium antarcticum strain CCFEE 5527 scaffold_15, whole genome shotgun sequence.
UCCCGCCUGGCACAAUUGGCUAGCGCGUGAGACUUUUACAAUGUAAAGCUGCAUCUCAAGGUUGAGAGUUCGAACCUCUCGGUGGGAG